UAAUACGGAGGGUGCGAGCGUUAAUCGGAAUUACUGGGCGUAAAGCGUGCGUAGGUGGUUGAUUAAGUUAUCUGUGAAAUCCCUGGGCUUAACCUGGGCAGGUCAGAUGAUACUGAUUAACUCGAGUAUGGGAGAGGGUAGUGGAAUUUCCGGUGUAGCGGUGAAAUGCGUAGAGAUCGGAAGGAACACCAGUGGCGAAGGCGGCUACCUGGCCUAAUACUGACACUGAGGCACGAAAGCGUGGGGAGCAAACAGGAUUAGAUACCCUGGUAGUCCACGCCGUAAACGAUGUCAACUAGCUGUUGGAUAUAUGAAUAUAUUUAGUGGCGCAGCAAACGCGAUAAGUUGACCGCCUGGGGAGUACGGUCGCAAGAUUA
rnacentral:rRNA from 1 species